UCACAUUCCGAUUGAAUAUUAUCUUAAAUACAAGACAUGUAAAUUGCAUACAAUCGUACAAACACCUGACUCGCGGAUUUUACCAUAUGUAUCGUUCUUUUCCGUCAGAAUGUCUAACAUAAAUAUAAUUAUACAGGGAAUAAACGGGGACUUACGAAUUAUAUCAAUCAGUAAGGAAGCCAGUAUACAAAAACUUAAGAAACGUGUGAAGGAAGCAUUCAAUUUACCAGUAGACGAUGAUAUAAGAAUACUUUACAUCACUCGAAACCUUUACGAAGUGGAUUCACACGGACGUGAACAGUUUUUAAAAGAUUACCAAAUUGGGGAUAUGGCCUUAGUUUUUAUAUUUCCGCGAAUUCCGUGAUAACACCGGUAAAGAGCCUUCGCCUCGCACUAAAUUCUUGCCCGAAAACCAGUAGAUAAAGUAAAAAUAAAAAGUGUUGAAAAUA